AUUUCAAACACAUUGAAUGCCCAUAAAAUCCUCCUCGAUUUCUACUUUCUCCCUCUCCAUCUCCUCCGUGAAAUAGUUGUUUCACGCUGCACAUUUCUUCUUCAUCAAUUCUACAACAAUGACGACAUCAAAGAAAGUUGCAGAAAAGAAAGUUGCAAAGUUUGAGAAAAAUAUUACAAAAAGAAGAUUGGGUCCAAUGGCUUCAAAAAAAAUGAAAACAGAGCUUUAUGUGCUUGCUUUCUUCGUUUUAGUGGUGGUUGGAUCUUUUAUAUUUCAGAUUAUCAGGCUGACAUUGACGGGAUGACAAGUUACAUGGGUCAAAUGCUCAAUUAAAUUUAAAAUCAAUUGUCUUUAACUUCUAAUAAAAAAUGCAUUGUAUCUAAGCAUCUUGUCAUAAUAACCGUUGUUUUUACAUAUUUCAAUGGUUUCAUGUUGUGUUGAAAAAAAAAAUA